UACGUAGGCAGCAAGCGUUGUUCGGAAUUACUGGGCGUAAAGAGUGUGUAGGCGGUGCUCUAAGUUCGGUGUGAAAUCUCCCGGCUCAACUGGGAGGGUGCGCCGGAAACUGGAGUGCUGGAGCGCGGGAGAGGAAAGCGGAAUUCCUGGUGUAGCGGUGAAAUGCGUAGAUAUCAGGAGGAACACCGGCGGUGUAGACGGCUUUCUGGACCGUAGCUGACGCUGAGACACGAAAGCUAGGGGAGCAAACAGG
rnacentral:rRNA from 1 species